rnacentral:snoRNA from 1 species
CCGAGUCCGUGAUGAUGAGUUAUCCCUGUCUGAAGGCAAAGAGGCCUUCAGUGUGGAAUUUGGAUGUCUGAGACUCCG